rnacentral:rRNA from 1 species
CGCUGAGUUUGAUCCUGGCUCAGAUUGAACGCUGGCGGCAUGCCUUACACAUGCAAGUCGAACGGCAGCACGGGUGCUUGCACCUGGUGCGAGUGGCGGAACGGGUGAGUAAUACAUCGGAACGUACCUUAUCGUGGGGGAUAACGCAGCGAAAGUUGCGCUAAUACCGCAUACGCCCUGAGGGGGAAAGCGGGGGACCGUAAGGCCUCGCGCGAUUAGAGCGGCCGAUGUCUGAUUAGCUUGUUGGUGAGGUAAAGCUCACCAAGGCGAUGAUCAGUAGCUGGUCUGAGAGGACGAUCAGCCACACGUGGGACUGAGACACGGCCCAGACUCCUACGGGGAGCAGCAGUGGGGGUAAUUUUGGACAAGUGGGGGCAACCCCGUGAUCCAGCAAUGCCGCGUGAGUGAAG